rnacentral:rRNA from 1 species
UACAGAGGUCUCAAGCGUUUGUUCGGAUUCAUUGGGCGUAAAGGGUGCGUAGGUGGCGCCGUAAGUGGGGUGUGAAAUUUUGGAGCUUAACUCCGAAACUGCAUUCCAUACUGCGGUGCUUGAGGACUGGAGAGGAGACUGGAAUUUACGGUGUAGCAGUGAAAUGCGUAGAGAUCGUAAGGAAGACCAGUGGCGAAGGCGGGUCUCUGGACAGUUCCUGACACUGAGGCACGAAGGCCAGGGGAGCAAACGGGG